rnacentral:lncRNA from 1 species
UUAGUUAAUUGUAUUCAUUUAAAUCUUUUGAUUAUUCAUAUCUUAAUUGUUUUAUAUUUUUAUAAAUAGAUUCGGCUCUUCUGAUAUGUAAGCCGGCUCCCAACGUUCACAUACAAGAGCUGAGUCGUUCGCGAACGACCCAUCACUAGUCGACUACAUAGGAGAUAGGGUCACUGCAAGGGUAUCAGGUCACUGCAUUGAUCAGUGAAGGUGAAAUAGGCUAAGUGACAUUUAUUUCACACUUAAUCAUGAUGAGUGAACAAAAAUGAAAUUAACAGACAUCCUAUGUCUAUGUUCACUAUAGCAUGGAAGUCUUCCUUUUGAUACAGCUGUCAUCAAAAUGACUCGUAUGCUGUCUCAAGAGGAGUGCUCACUACCAGGUCUAGGGUGUGUCCUUACUCACAAAUGGCACCCUAUUCCCGAUAUAGUGCACUACUUUUGACCAGGGCCCAUAGUGUGAAGUGUAAAGGGAAUAUGGUGCCAUUUGAGACACUGUCUAGGGCUGGGUGUGUGCUCUCCUUCAUGACCACUUAUAACUAUCAGACCAGGACAGGUCUCCAUUAUUAUUCCAUUACAUUAUAACUACCAGACCAGGACAGGUCUCUAUUAUUAUUCCAUUAUAGUAUAACUACCAGACCAGGACAGGUCUCUAUUAUUAUUCCAUUACAUUAUAACUACCAGACCAGGACAGGUCUCUAUUAUUAUUCCAUUACAUUAUAACUACCAGACCAGGACAGGUCUCUAUUAUUAUUCCAUUACAUUAUAACUACCAGACCAGGACAGGUCUCCAUUAUUAUUCCAUUACAUUAUAACUACCAGACCAGGUCUCCAUUAUUAUUCCUUUACACCCAUAUAUAAACUCAGCAAAAAAAGAAAUGUCCUCUCACUGUCAACUGCGUUUAUUUUCAGCAAACUUAACAUGUAAAUAUUUGUGUGAACAUAACAAAUUCAACAACUGAGACAUAAACUAAACAAGUUCCACAGACAUGUGACUAACAGAAAUGGAAUAAUGUGUCUCUGAACAAAGGGGGGUUCAAAAUUAACAGUCAAAAGUUACAGUCAGUAUCUGGUGUGGCCACCAGCUGCAUUAAGUUCUGCAGUGCAUCUUCUCCUCAUGGACUGUAUCAGAUUUGCCAGUUUUUGCUGUGAGAUGUUAACCCACUCUUCCACCAAGGCACCUGCAAGUUCCCGGACAUUUCUGGGGGGAAUGGCCCUAGCCCUCACCCUCUGAUCCAACAGGUCCCAGACGUGCUCAAUGGGAUUGAGAUCCGGGCUCUUUGCUGGCCAUGGCAGAACACUGACAUUCCUGUCUUGCAGGAAAUCACGCACAGAACGAGCAGUAUGGCUGGUGGCAUUGUCAUGCUGGAGGGUCAUGUCAGGAUGAGCCUACAGGAAGGGUACCACAUGAGGGAGGAGGAUGUCUUCCCUGUAACGCACAGCGUUGAGAUUGCCUGCAAUGACAACAAGUUCAGUCCGAUGAUGCUGUGACACACCGCCCCAGACCAUGACGGACCCUCCACCUCCAAAUCGAUCCCGCUCCAGAGUACAGGCUUCGGUGUAACGCUCAUUCCUUCAACGAUAAAUGCAAAUCCGACCAUCACCCCUGGUGAGACUAAACCGUGACUCGUCAGUGAAGAGCACUUUUUGCCAGUCCUGUCUGGUCCAGCAACGGUGGGUUUGUGCCCAUAGGCGACGUUGUUGACGGAGAUGUCUGGUGAGGACCUGCCUUACAACAGGCCUACAAGCCCUCAGUCCAGCCUCUCUCAGCCUAUUGAGGACAGUCUGAGCACUGGUGGAGGGAUUGUGCGUUCCUGGUGUAACUCAGGCAGUUGUUGUUGCCAUCCUGUACCUGUCCCGCAGGUCUGAUGUUCGGAUGUACCGAUCCUGUGCAGGUGUUGUUACACGUGGUCUGCCACUGCGAGGACGAUCAGCUGUCCGUCCUGUCUCCCUGUAGCGCUGUCUUAGGCGUCUCACAGUACGGACAUUGCAAUUUAUUGCCCUGGCCACAUCUGCAGUCCUCAUGCCUCCUUGCAGCAUGCCUAAGGCACGUUCACGCAGAUGAGCAGGGACCCUGGGCAUUUUCUUUUGGUGUUUUUCAGAGUAAGUAGAAAGGCCUCUUUAGUGUCCUAAGUUUUCAUAACUGUGACCUUAAUUGCCUACCAUCUGUAAGCUGUUAGUGUCUUAACGACCGUUCCACAGGUGCAUGUACAUAAAUUAUUUAUGGUUCAUUGAACAGGCAUAGGAAACAGUGUUUUAACUCUUUACAACAAAGAUCUAUGAAGUUAUUUGGAUUUUUACGAAUAAUCUUUGAAAGACAGGGUCCUGAAAAAGGGACGUUUUUUUUUUUGAUGAGUUUAUCCCUCCUGAGAUGUGUGCAAACCUGGUGGCCAACUACAAGAAACGUCUGACCUCUGUGAUUGCCAACAAGGGUUUUGCCACCAAGUACUAAGUCAUGUUUUGCAGAGGGGUCAAAUACUUAUUUCCCUCAUUAAAAUGCAAAUCAUUUUAUAACAUUUUUGACAUGCGUUUUCUGGAUUUUUGUUCUUAUUCUGUCUCUCACUGUUCAAAUAAACCUACCAUUAAAAUUAUAGACUGA